UUUGACAGAUUGCGAUAAAAGAAUACAUAAAAAACAAGUCUUGUACAUUUUUUGUAUUUUUUCAUCGCAAGCUGUCAAAACUUGUUUUUAUAGAAUUUGCUUUUGUGGUGUAAUAUUCGGAACUCCCAAACAAACCCGUAUUCAGUCGAUACAGCGUGUGAUUAUACAGCUGAAGAAGUCAGUACCGUGUUCAGUGCAUUGUAAUUUGUAAUAUCGAGCAGCAACCAUAGCGGACACACAUCAUCGAACACCAGCAACAGAAUACCAAGGUCACCAUGGUCAGAGAACGCAGUAAUAAUGGGGCAACAGUAAACAACAUCAAGAUGCUGGUAAAGGACUUUCUCUUUCGAACAAACAUUAUGGAAACCUGAGUGCUUACAUACACUCUGAUGGAAACGUCGUAUCCUCUACACGAACGUGUCCAAUCGCUGUGACUCGUUUGGAAAACAAACAAAAGAAGGCAUUGUUUUUUCCGCAAGGUCGCUCUGAGAAAAAUUUCAGCAAAUUGCAAGGAAUGAACCCCCGGAGGGGUACUGGUGUCGAUUCAGGACGUUUUCCCAUACAUUGUAGCUAUUGAAUUUUGAUACCCGGUCGAAACGAUGGCAAGCGCUGCCGAUAACUGGGUCAAAAAAGCGGAUGGUCAGUAAAUUUCUGUACACGGCGGCUGACAGUCCAGAGAAUGUAUAAAUGUCUAGUUUAUCGGCAAUCGAGCCAGCGAGAAUCGGCUGCACCUGCAGUUUUGAGUUCGAUAGCUGCGAAAAUUCUGACUUUAGCAAGCGAAAAUGGAGAAACAGCUAACCUGGCGGAUGCAAUUUCACUACUGAAAAUUAUUCGCAAAGGUCUGGUAGAAUCAAAGCUGGAUCUGGAGGUGAAGCGAAAGAAUGCUUCUUCCCCGCUAUACUCGGUUAACACUUUCGAAGCUUUGCACAAAAGCAGGAACUGCUUCAGGGAGUCUAUGCUAUGGGUUCCAACGCCCCUUCCUAGAUUCACGAUACGGCUUUACCUACUCUAUUGGCCGAUCUGCCACAGAACAUGAUCGCCAAGUCAAUCGGGAACAGGAAAAAUAGCUGCUUUAGUGCUGGCAAUGCUCAGUCGAUUCGAUCUGUUAAAAAACUAUCCGCAGGUAAUUUGCCUUUCCGCCACGCAUGAUGUGGCAACUCAGAAGGAGAAAGUAGCUGCCAAAUGACAAAGGAUUUUCAGGAAAUCAAACUUCGUUACACCGUUCGCGGUGAGAAUAUCGUCAAAGAGGUGAAGCAGACUAAUCAUAUCAUUAUCGAAACACCCGGUAAGCUGAUAGACUGGGGAAUAAAGUUUCAGGCGUUCGACCUUAAGAGAUUGCCGUUUUGUACUGGACGAAGCGGGCGUUAUGAUCGUUACCCAGGGCAACCAGGAUCAGUGCAUCCGGAUACAGAAGCAGCUGUCGUCGUCCUGCCUGAUGAUGUUCUUCUCGGCCACGUACGAGUGGGAGGUGAUGGAGUUCGCCGAGUACAUCGUAACCUAUCUGAUCGUCAUUCGGCUGGCGCGGAAACAAGAAUCACUCGAAUCGGACUCAAACAGUACUACGUCAAGUGCCGUCAAGAUCUACGGUGUGAUUACCGUCAGACAAGCGAUCAUUUUCUGUCAUAUGAUGUAUAGAACAGUUAUAAGCUCCAAGUAAACUUAUUUUCGGCAUCGUCAAUCGAUCGAAACAGGCACGCAAAACAGCCGGUUGGUCUGGCAAGAUGUCGCAGGAUUGUCAGUCGGUAACGGUGCUGUCCGGUGAUGUAACGGUGGAGGAACGGUUGGCCGUUCUGGAUCGAUUUCGUGCCGGACUAGAGAAGCUACUGAUUAUAACGAACGUUUUGUCCAGGGGUAAGUUCCACCACUUGAUUCUGACUACAGCACCAGGUUACGGAGAGAUUCUUUCGCCUUAGGUAUCGACGUCGAACAGGUGACUAUUGUUAAUUUCAACCUGCCGAAGGGAUGAGCCGGUUGCGAUACGUAUCUGCAUCGAAUUAGACGCACCGGUAGGUGUGACACAUUCUUGUGUUUUAUAAAUUGUAUUUUUCCCGCUUCUGUAACGGAAAGGAAUCACCAUCAACCUAGUGGACAGUGAUCGAAGCAAGAUGAUUUGCAGCUCAAUAGAAAAACACUUCCAGAAAAGAUUCCGCUACUAGACGUUGAGAAAUCGGACGAAAUUGAAAAGAUCGGAUCGCAACAGUGUUUUCGACCAGGUGAAAGGCGCAGGAGCUUUUUUGGGUCAUACUUGUUUCGAUUCUGAAUUUAAAUAUAGUAAUUUGAUUUAGCUGUACCAAGUUCUUGCCAAACAUUUGAAAUGAACCUAACUGCAAAAUGUAACAUAUUGAAUUUUCAUGUUUUCCAUUAACAAAUAUCUACCCGAACACGUACAUAACGCAACAUUUAAUUAUGAAGAAUUUUGAUAACGAUUUCCGGAUUUUUAUGACAAAACUGAUUAUUAAAGGGCCUAACUGAUUACAAAAGAACUUAAUUGAUUAUAAAAGUGUCUGAUUUCAAAAGCGCCAACUGAUUGAAAAGUUCUUAGCUAGAAAUACACUCAUUUUAAAAGGACUAACGAAUUAAUGUAUUAUAACCAGGUAUGCACAAGAACGGUGCUGCUCUGUGUCCUAUUCCUGUGCACUGGCUCUUAAUGUGUCACAGCUAAAUUAAUUUAGCUAGAGCUUGUGCUGGUUUUAGAUGAGCUAGAGCUAGCAAGUAGCACGAGCACCGAUUAGUGAGAGCACUCGCUAGCACGGUGAUAGCUAGCACGCUGCAUGGAGCUAUACACGCAGAAUUUUAUUUAUGCAUCGAUAGCAUACUUUUCUAUAGGUCGUUAACAAAAAAUGGUAAAAAUAAAAAAUUGGUUUGCGUAUCGAUCUAGUGUUUAGAACCAUGGCAACCAUUCAUGACUAAGACACCAGGCGGGCGCUAGCCCAAAAUUGAAAGCACAUUAAACGACUUCUAGCGUACAAGUUAAGUUCUGUUUGACAUACUGAAAUCGAACCAGCAGGACUAGUGUUAGCCUGGCGCCUUAGUUAGGUGCCACGGUUCUUAAGAGACGACAUGAUUAUGUACACCUGUCAUAUGAUGUGAUGGCCGGAAGGUUAGAAAAGCAAUUCACCCGCAAAUAUGAUUGUGAUAUUAAAUAAAAAUCGCAAAUGCUUAAACGUAUUUAAUAUAUUUACAUUGACUGGUGAUAAAAAAAAACCUGUUUUAAUCCACCUAGCGGUGCAAUUGUGCCUUUCUCAUUUCUCUAUACUAUGGCUCGGUGGCUGGUUAUGUUCAACAAUGUUUGUCCACAUUGUUAUGUGGAAAUGUCCAUUACAUUCUUAGUACACUUUGCACUUAUACACAAUAGCUUGCCAGCCACGAACUUGAUGAGCUACGUGUCGACGGUAAAACACUUGAAACAAAAAAUAUACUUAAUUAGCCUAAUCAGUAUUAGUUCAAUGUUAUUUGCUUGGUUACUCAUUUUGCAUGCGGGGGUGGGCGUGGAAGGAGGGCGAAAAUUCCACGAAGGAACGACUCCCCAGCAUAAUUUGGUAUGCUUUGUGAUAUAGUGGUGGUUUAAAGAUGACGGGGUUGAGGGAGAGAGUAAACGGUAGAGGGGGGUAACCCCUCUCCCCUCAGCUAUGCCACUGUUAAAAUCAAGAAACCUUACGACAGUAAAAAAAAAAUUAGGCUGGGAUUAGGUUGACGGUUUUCAGAGUGAUUGCAUAACCUUUCUAUAUGAAAAAGGCAAAACAUACAAGACAAUGUUUCGAGUUUUCCACGUCUUACCAUGUAAAUGACUAUCACGCCAAAAUACCUUACAGCUCGCAGGUUUUACUUUACCUAACUCUGCCCAACCACAGCUAAAGGAAUGAUGAACAUUCCCUCGGCAGCUUCAAAAGUCUCAUCUCCAACGUCGCAAACGUUGCCCUCAUUCUUUGGCGCCGUUUCCAUCAUCAUCCUCAGCAAGUUGUUCCUUACUAACAUCGAGUUUAACCGAUUGCGACAAAUCGUCUGUAUCAUCUCCUGCUGAUAGCCUAGGAACGAAUCACUCUCAUCCAGUUCGUGCUUAUGCUCCGUACCACGAUCCUUAAUUGUCCCGAAACGGCCGGUGAUGGCAAAACACCUUACACUUGGUGCACUUCCAUGCGAUUCGCCCGUCGCUGAUCAACCGACCGACGAGUACCGGUAGCCAUUGUGCACGACCAACCGCUGACCCCGCUCAGCCGAAAUAGGUUUGUAAGCAAUCUACUUGUUUGUUUUUGCAUC